rnacentral:rRNA from 1 species
GACGUAGGGCGCGAGCGUUGUCCGGAUUUAUUGGGCGUAAAGAGCUCGUAGGCGGCUUGUCGCGUCGUUCGUGAAAACUCACAGCUCAACUGUGAGCUUGCGGUCGAUACGGGCAGGCUAGAGUUCGGUAGGGGAGACUGGAAUUCCUGGUGUAGCGGUGAAAUGCGCAGAUAUCAGGAGGAACACCGGUGGCGAAGGCGGGUCUCUGGGCCGAUACUGACGCUGAGGAGCGAAAGCGUGGGGAGCGAACAGG